GGACCAGCUAGACAAGAAAUACAAUUAACUGCUGAAUCAAUUCCUAGUGUGAUAUUUGAUCUGUUAUAUGCAAGGUCAUCAACUGCAAUAAAUUUUAUAUGGAAUCCACCUAUAAUACCCAAUGGUAUAAUUACAGUAUAUGACAUAAGAUAUAGAGAGUCUACCAGUACUGGUCCAUACAAUAUAACUAACACUACUAACACUUAUUACAGUAUAGUAGGAUUGAUACCUAAUACUAGUUAUACUAUUGGAGUGAGAGCAUAUACUAGUAUUGGACCAGGAGAAUGGACUGAUAGUGAAUAUACUACUGCUCAAAUAUCUGUCAUUCAAACCUUUUCUAUAAAAAAGCUCAGUUCUACAGCAGUGAGGGCUGAGUGGGGUUCAGUUGCUGGAGCUAGUCAUUAUACUGUCUAUUAUGAGUCAACCAGUAG